rnacentral:rRNA from 1 species
AUUGAACGCUGGCGGCAGGCCUAACACAUGCAAGUCGAGCGGAGCGGCGGACGGGUGAGUAAUGCCUAGGAAUCUGCCUGGUAGUGGGGGAUAACGUCCGGAAACGGGCGCUAAUACCGCAUACUAUCAGAUGAGCCUAGGUCGGAUUAGCUAGUUGGUGGGGUAAAGGCCUACCAAGGCGACGAUCUCUAGCUGGUCUGAGAGGAUGACCAGCCACACCGGGACUGAGACACGGCCCGGACUCCUACGGGAGGCAGCAGUGGGGAAUAUUGCGCAAUGGGGGCAACCCUGACGCAGCCAUGCCGCGUGAAUGAAGAAGGCCUUCGGGUUGUAAAGUUCUUUCGGUGACGAGGCGUUAAUCACAGAAGAAGCACCGGCUAACUCCGUGCCAGCAGCCGCGGUAAUUC